rnacentral:rRNA from 1 species
CCUACGGGAGGCAGCAGUGGGGAAUAUUGGACAAUGGGCGAAAGCCUGAUCCAGCAAUGCCGCGUGAGUGGAGAAGGCCUUCGGGUUGUAAAGCUCUUUUACCCGGGAAGAUAAUGACUGUACCGGGAGAAUAAGCCCCGGCUAACUCCGUGCCAGCAGCCGCGGUAAUACGGAGGGGGCUAGCGUUGUCCGGAAUUACUGGGCGUAAAGCGUACGUAGGCGGCUUUGUAAGUCAGAGGUGAAAGCCCACGACUCAAUCGUGGAACUGCCUUUGAGACUGCUUCGCUUGAAGAUGGGAGAGGUUAGUGGAAUUCCGAGUGUAGAGGUGAAAUUCGUAGAUAUUCGGAAGAACACCAGUGGCGAAGGCGGCUAACUGGACCAUUCUUGACGCUGAGGUACGAAAGCGUGGGGAGCAAACAGGAUUAGAUACCCUGGUAGUCCACGCCGUAAACGAUGAUAACUAGCUGUCGGGGCUCUUGGAGCUUCGGUGGCGCAGCUACGACAUUAAGUUAUUCCGUCCGUCGGGUAGGUACGGCCGCGAACGGUUAAAACGUAACAAAGGAAAGUUAGUACGGCGUGAGACGUGCCGAACGGACGACACGAGGGGAGUAGG